UUGCUCUGUGGGAUCAGUGGCGAACGGGUGAGUAACACGUGAGCAACCUGCCCCUGACUCUGGGAUAAGCGCUGGAAACGGCGUCUAAUACUGGAUAUGUGACGUGACCGCAUGGUCUGCGUCUGGAAAGAAUUUCGGUUGGGGAUGGGCUCGCGGCCUAUCAGCUUGUUGGUGAGGUAAUGGCUCACCAAGGCGUCGACGGGUAGCCGGCCUGAGAGGGUGACCGGCCACACUGGGACUGAGACACGGCCCAGACUCCUACGGGAGGCAGCAGUGGGGAAUAUUGCACAAUGGGCGCAAGCCUGAUGCAGCAACGCCGCGUGAGGGAUGACGGCCUUCGGGUUGUAAACCUCUUUUAGCAGGGAAGAAGCGAAAGUGACGGUACCUGCAGAAAAAGCGCCGGCUAACUACGUGCCAGCAGCCGCGGUAAUACGUAGGGCGCAAGCGUUAUCCGGAAUUAUUGGGCGUAAAGAGCUCGUAGGCGGUUUGUCGCGUCUGCUGUGAAAUCCGGAGGCUCAACCUCCGGCCUGCAGUGGGUACGGGCAGACUAGAGUGCGGUAGGGGAGAUUGGAAUUCCUGGUGUAGCGGUGGAAUGCGCAGAUAUCAGGAGGAACACCGAUGGCGAAGGCAGAUCUCUGGGCCGUAACUGACGCUGAGGAGCGAAAGGGUGGGGAGCAAACAGGCUUAGAUACCCUGGUAGUCCACCCCGUAAACGUUGGGAACUAGUUGUGGGGUCCAUUCCACGGAUUCCGUGACGCAGCUAACGCA
rnacentral:rRNA from 1 species